GAGGGUGACCGGCCACAUUGGGACUGAGACACGGCCCAAACUCCUACGGGAGGCAGCAGUGGGGAAUAUUGCACAAUGGGCGAAAGCCUGAUGCAGCGACGCCGCGCGAGUGAAGAAGUAUUUCGGUAUGUAAAGCUCUAUCAGCAGGGAAGAAAAUGACGGUACCUGACUAAGAAGCCCCGGCUAACUACGUGCCAGCAGCCGCGGUAAUACGUAGGGGGCAAGCGUUAUCCGGAUUUACUGGGUGUAAAGGGAGCGUAGACGGCGAAGCAAGUCUGAAGUGAAAACCCAGGGCUCAACCCUGGGACUGCUUUGGAAACUGUUUUGCUAGAGUGUCGGAGAGGUAAGUGGAAUUCCUAGUGUAGCGGUGAAAUGCGUAGAUAUUAGGAGGAACACCAGUGGCGAAGGCGGCUUACUGGACGAUAACUGACGUUGAGGCUCGAAAGCGUGGGGAGCAAACAGGAUUAGAUACCCU
rnacentral:rRNA from 1 species